UAUCUACCAAGAUUCCCACUCCAUUCUUACCUCUCACGACCCCAGAAUACCACAGCUUAAACUCGUAUGCAUUCGUCGCCUUCGACCCUUUCCACCUAAUCUCCUGGACAAAGGCUAUGUUAACCCUCUUCUUCUGAAGAACCUUCGCCAACUCAAUGGACUUACCCGUGAGAGUGCCUAUGUUCCACGACCCAAUCCUUAAUCUAUGAGCGUCUGUUACCCUCCUCCCACACUUACCUCCCUCCCUACCCGCAGGACCACUACCUGCCCCCUACUCACCCCCGCCACCGCCCCUACCC
rnacentral:lncRNA from 1 species